AGAUGGGCCCGCGGCGCANUAGCUAGUUGGUAAGGUAACGGCUUACCAAGGCGACNAUGCGUAGCCNACCUGAGAGGGUGAUCGGCCACACUGGGACUGANACACGGCCCANACUCCUACGGGAGGCAGCAGUAGGGAAUCUUCCGCAAUGGACGAAAGUCUGACGGAGCAACGCCGCGUGAGUGAUGAAGGUUUUCGGAUCGUAAAACUCUUUUGUCAGGGAAGAACAAGUGCCGUUCAAAUAGGGCGGCACCUUGACGGUACCUGACCAGAAAGCCCCGGCUAACUACCUGCCAGCAGCCGCGGUAAUACUAAGGGGCAAGCGUUGUCCGGAAUUAUUNGGGCGUAAAGCGCGCCGCAGGCGUCCUUUAAGUCUGAUGNGAAACCCCNCGGCUUAACCGUGGAGGGNCCNUUGGGAAACUGGGAGGGAUUUGNGUACCGNAAAAAGGAAAAGNGGGAAUUCCCCCGNGGNAAGGGGUGAAAAUGCGNAAAAAGAUUU
rnacentral:rRNA from 1 species